rnacentral:rRNA from 1 species
UACGUAGGGUGCAAGCGUUAAUCGGAAUUACUGGGCGUAAAGCGUGCGUAGGCGGUUUCUUAAGUCUGCUGUGAAAUCCCCGGGCUCAACCUGGGAAUGGCAGUGGAUACUGGGAGGCUAGAGUGUGUCAGAGGAUGGUGGAAUUCCCGGUGUAGCGGUGAAAUGCGUAGAGAUCGGGAGGAACAUCAGUGGCGAAGGCGGCCAUCUGGGACAACACUGACGCUGAGGCACGAAAGCGUGGGGAGCAAACAGG